UACGUAGGGGGCAAGCAUUGUCCGGAUUUAUUGGGCGUAAAGAGCGUGUAGGCGGCCAGGUAGGUCCGUUGUGAAAACUGGAGGCUUAACCUCCAGCUGUCGAUGCAAACCAUCUGGCUAGAGUCCGGAAGAGGAGAGUGGAAUUCCUGGUGUAGCGGUGAAAUGCGCAGAUAUCAGGAAGAACACCCGUGGCGAAGGCGGCUCUCUGGGACGGUACUGACGCUGAGACGCGAAAGCGUGGGGAGCGAACAGG
rnacentral:rRNA from 1 species